GUGCUUGCUCAGGCAGCACAUAUAAUAGAAUUGGAAUCGAUACAGAGAGGAAGAUUAGCAUGGCCCUCUUGAAAGAGUGACAUGCAAAUUAAAUUGAAAGCGGUUCUCAUUUUA
rnacentral:snRNA from 1 species